AUGCACUACGCACUUUUAUUUGCUCUUGGUAACAUCUUUCUAGAUGGACAUUCAGGUCCAACAGAGAUGAGCAGCAUGGAUUUACAAAGUGCACAGGUAUUCUUUUUCAUACUCGUGCACUUGCACUGGAGCCACACAACAGAUAUAUGUGCACCAGGCGAAGACUGCAAAAAUAAAGAAGUGUUUGACAAAUCAGUGACAACGAUCCCUGAAAAUCUGAAAGAUGGAGCAGAUGAAAUAUUUUUUGUAAACAGUAAGAUUGAUAUCAUACCAAAAGGAGCUUUUUCUAAAAAUCCUCAAAUAAAGAAACUGGAAUUUCUCGGUACUUCGACUGAGUCUGUAGAGGUCGGAGCUUUUGAGGGUUUACCUGAUAUCGCCACCAUUGAGAUAUCUAGCACAAACGUGACAUCAUUACCUGUUGGUGUUUUUAAGGAUCUCGUCAACCUUCAAAGACUUGUUUUAAAAAGCAACAAAAUCAACAUCCUUGAAAAGGGGUUAUUUGACGAUCUAACCCAGCUCCAAGAAUUAUUUCUGCAUAUGAAUGAGAUCACCGCGAUCGAGGAGGGGACAUUUGACAAUUUAGAGAAUCUCAGACUUCUACAUCUUGCAAAAAACAACCUCAACUCCGUAUCAACAUCUCUCUUUUCCAAACUCAAGAGCUUACGCAUUUUCAGGCUUUAUGAGAAUCUGCUGACUGCAAUGCCUGAUGGGAUUUUUGAUAGUCUUUCUGAUCUGACAGAGAUAGCCUUGCAAGGCAACCAAAUCUCGUCCUUACAACCAAAUUUGUUUCCACACAAAAGCAAAAUAGUAAAACUCUUUUUGGACCAUAAUCUUUUGACAGAGUUGGAGCAAGAGCUAUUUGUAGGUUUCAUUUCAUUGAAAAGUUUAACUCUGCACAACAAUCAACUCACCAGCCUUCCCAAUGUUCUUUUUGGAGAAAUGCCCAAAUUGACUGAAUUGAGUUUAAACCAUAACAAUCUCACACACUUACCACCGGGAGUUUUCAGCCCACUUAAGAAGCUCAAAAAGUUAGACCUUUCUUCAAACCAUUUCUCGAUGAUAUCUGGAGACUUUUUUGAGGGUCUUGAGAAACUGGCUGAUCUGAAUCUUCAAAAUAACUAUAUAAAGUCAUUAAAACAAGAAGACUUUGACAAACUUCCGCUCCUUUCAAUACUCAGACUGGAACACAAUAAACUACAAAAUCUUCCUGCAGAUGUUUUUGACUCUCAUCCAAAACUCAGUAAACUCUACCUGAACAACAACCCAUGGCAGUGUGAUUGUAACCUGUUGCCAUUCUUUGAAUGGCUGAAGGACAAUGAAGACAAGGUUAAAUCAAAACCUCCACUCUGUGAGUCGCCAAAUCAUCUGCUAAAUCAACCAAUCCCCUCUUUUGAAGAAAAAGAUUUAAUAUGCCUCACCACUUUACCCCCUACCACACCUCUCCUUACAACCACCGUGCCCAUGACAACAACAAAGUUAACCACCACAACACCAGCAGCACCCACAACGGCAACACCGACAACAACUACUCAACCCACAACUGUGCCAACCACCACCGCUACAACUACAGCUUUAACAACAACAUCAGUGCCAACCACCGCAUCAACAACUACUCCACAACCAACAACUGCACCAAUAACAACAUCAGUGCCAACCACCGCAUCAACAACUACUCCACAACCAACAACUGCACCAAUAACAACAUCAGUGCCAACCACCGCAUCAACAACUACUCCUCAACCAACAACUACAACCCUUAAGACUACAUCAAUGCCAACCACGAUAUCAACAACUACGCUACAACCAACAACUACAACAUUGACAACCACAUCAGAGCCAACCACAAUAUCAGCAACUACAUUACAACCAACAACUACAACCCAGAAGACUACAUCCAUCCCAACAACUAUAUUUCAACCAACAAAUACAACCCUGAAGACUACAUCCAUGCCAACAACCAUUCCAACAACAACAACACUACAACCAACAACUACAAUUCCUACCACAUCAGCACUUCAAACAACAGUUGCAACAACUUCAGUUUCUACAACCAUGUUAAUCCCUACCACUAUUACAAGUCGCAUAACAACCUUACCACCCAGCACGACAACAAGGAGAACCACACCAUUUCUGACCACAGCGAACAGUUUCACAUGUGGCUCUCUUCAGACACCUCCAUCAAGCCACACUUCUGUCCACGAGUACUCAUCAUGCAAGGAACUGGCGAUAUUUUACACUACUUUGCUGCUGGUGGAAAUAUGCUGUACUCUGGUGCUGGCCAAAUACACUUAUUCAUUAUACUGCUCACUGGAGCAAAGGGAGAGACUGCACAACCAAGUCAAGCUGACUCACUUCUCUUAUACUAAGUCUAUUUCUCUUAGGCCAGUGGACGAGACAGAAACUAUAACACUAUGAUUUAUAUUUGCAUUUAUUUAUUUGUUUUCUUUUUGGCUUAGUCCCUUUAUUAAUCAGGGAUUGGCACAGUGGAAUGAACCACCAACUUAUACAGCAUAUGUUUUACGCAGCGGAUGCUCUUCCAGCUGCAACCCAUCAUGGUAAAGAUUUCUAUUUUUUCUAUUUUAUUUUAUUUUUUUAAUUUAAUUUUAAUUUAAUUUAAUUUAAUUUAAUUUAAUUUAAUUUAAUUUAAUUUUAUUUUAUUUUAUUUUAUUUUAUUUUAUUUUAUUUUAUUUUAUUUUAUUUUAUUUUAUUUUAUUUUACUUGAGGUCGUGGUACUGCCUGUGUAUGAGGCUGAGAAUAUAGCUCUGUAUUUAAUUUAAUUUAAUUUAAUUUAAUUUAAUUUAAUUUAAUUUAAUUUAAUUUAAUUUAAUUUAAUUUAAUUUAAUUUAAUUUUUAUUUUAUUUUAUUUUAUUUUAUUUUAUUUUAUUUUAUUUUAUUUUACUUGAGGUCGUGGUACUGCCCGUGUAUGUCGUGGUACUGCCCGUGUAUGAGGCUGAGACUAUAGCUCUGUAUUUAAUUUAUUUUAUUUUAUUUUAUUUUAUUUUAUUUUAUUUUAUUUUAUUUUAUUUUAUUUUAUUUUAUUUUAUUUUAUUUUAUUUUAUUUUAUUAUUUUAUUUUAUUUAGUUUUGUUUUGUUUUGUUUUGUUGUUUUUUUGUUUUGUUUUGUUUUACUUGAGGUGUUGAUACUGCCAGUGUAUGAGGCUGAGACUAUAGCUCUGUAUUUUAUUUUAUUUUAUUUUAUUUUAUUUUAUUUUAUUUUGUUUUGUUUUGUUUUGUUUUGUUUUGUUUUGUUUUGUUUUGUUUUGUUUGUUGUGUUUUGUUUUACUUGAGGUGUUGAUACUGCCAGUGUAUGAGGCUGAGACUAUAGCUCUGUAUUUUAUUUUAUUUUAUUAUAUAUAUAUAUAUAUAUAUAUAUAUAUAUAUAUAUAUAUUUUUUUUUUUUUUUUUUUUUUACUCAAAGUGUUGGUAUGAGUCUGAGACUACAGCUCUGUAUUUUAUUUUUUAUUUUUUUAUUUUUUACUAUACUAUACUGUAGCUCUUUGUUUUUUAGCUUAGUUUGUUAUUAUUCAAUUAUUGUAUUUACUUUGUCUUAUGGUUUGUUUGUUUUUGUUUAUUUAAAUUUUUCUGGGAGGUGGUUGUCAGUAUAAUGAUAUACUGGUCAGCACCUAUAACUAAUGCUUAAUCCUAAAUGCCUUCAUUUUGUGUGCAGUAGAUAGUUAAUACAACAUGUUAACUGCAUACAGGAUAAUCUGCAUUCAGCAAUUAAUUUUACAAUAAUGAUAUGAUUCCAAUCCACAGCAAUGCAUGUUUGAUACAGAAGAGUCAGUGAGGACUUUUCUAAUCUGCAAUGAUUUGUGUGUCUUUUUAUGUAAAUAAGUUUUUAAACUUAAAUAUGUUUUUCAUGUAGUGAUGCAUCUGUCUAGACGCUUAAAUUGUUUAACUAAUACAGAUUAUUUUUUCAUUGAUUUUUUUUAUCUUUUGGUAAAUAUAUCAGGAUGUAUUAAAUAAUAAUAUUUGUUUGUGAUUAUUCUUAUUAAAUAUUCAUUAUUCAUGUUUUAAAACAAAGUCCAAUGGGUUUUGAAUAAUGUGAGAUUGAGUAGGAAAACUUUAUCUGCAUUUUUAAAUGAACUAACCCUUUAAAUGUGUCAACUUUAAACUGUUAUUGUAAGUAUUUUACAGACAUAACAAAUACAUUUCAAACACUUUUCACAGCCCAAACUUAAAUUUGAAGCUGUUUUAUUUAAAAAUUGUAAAUCAGUGAUGUAACGUGUGAUCUGACAGUGUCAUAUAUUAAAAGGGUCUGCUUUGCUAGUUAAGUAACACCAUUGAGUUGCAGUUUGGAGCAUCUGUUGGAUACUAUUAAGCAAUUAUUUACAGUUCAUUAAUACAUGUCAGCAAUCUUGAUUUAUUAUUCUUAGACAUAGCCUUAGGGCUUAAGUCACAUAUUAAGGAGCUAUUGUUACCAGAUGCUUUUUAAAACUACAGAGGCUAAAUCAAGUGAUACAAAGACCCAGAUGUAUACUUAUUAACUGUAUAUAUGAUCGUAUAGUAUUUAGUAAAUUGCUGUUUAGCUGCAUUUAUGCAUGCUGUUUUACAUACAGUAUGUAUGCAUAUGGACCUGAACAUUGAUUAUUGAUCUAGAAUAGACUCCCUUUCAAAAUAAUAUCACUAUAAUAAUCACUUUUAAAAUUAGAAUUAAAGUAGGCAAUUGUCUAGGCCAUUUUCACAGGCAUUUGUUCAUGAAAUCGAAAUGCUCAAAAUAAAUCUGAACGCAAGUCUUUAAUACUGCAUGUCAACCACAAGGUGUCAGUGUUACCAAAAGAAAAAGACAUCAAGUUAAAACAAUCUGCACACAAUUCUUCAUAAACAAGUAUUUAUUUAUGUAUUUAUUUUUAUUUGUUUAAUAAAAAGUUAUCAGUCACCAUAAUUAGUUGCUAUAUCAUCGUCAUUAUCAUCCUCACGAUCCUCACAUCAAAUCAAAUCAUUCUCUUUAUGCAUGUUUUGAGUCCAAACAUUGUAAUUUAUAUAAAUUACAUUAGAGUUUUUGAUCAUACGGUAAAGUGUAUUAGUAUACUGCAUAUAUUAGUAUUUAGGCCUAGAAAUGUGUUAAUAAGACAUGAACUAUUGUUGUAUACUUUAGUUUUUACUAAAGGAAACUGGUGUAUUUUAGUAUAUCUAGUUGUUUUAAAAAGUACAGUACGCACAAGUAUGAUUUUAAUAUUAGGUCUACCAAAGCAAACUGCCACGAGAGGUUAAUUUAAGUCAAAACACAGCAAUUAUUAUUAUUAUUAUUAUUAUUAUUAUAAUUUUUUUUUUUUUUUAUCUCUCCUGAGUCCUGUCGAGGUAGUCUGAACGUUUAUGGUGGAGCAUUCUCUUACCGCAUUUCCAAAUGCACCACUAGAUGGCGAUGUUAUCAAAUGUCCAUAUGUAAACAGCAAAUUAAGUGGCCUUAUGUUGACCGUUUUUAAAUACUCACCUAUUAGAGUGCUCUGUCUGCUUUUUAUUCUUGAUAUACUUUUAUUGUUCUUUUAUCCAGUCAUUUAAAGCUUACUUAAGUUACACAACAAGGUUUGGUGAAGAUAGCCGUGCAAACGAAUGUGCCAUCGUCUUUUGUAAAGUAAACAAACAGCUCAAAUAGUUUCAACACCUGCACCGUUCAACUUUUGAAGUAGAAACGUGGAUGUGGGACGG
ensembl:processed_transcript